AAAUUUAAAUAUUACUUAUAGAAUUUGGUUAAAAGAUUUUUUAAUAAAAUCAUUUUUUUUUAUAUUAGUUUUUGUAUAGGAUAUAGAAAAAAUUUUUUGAGUGGUAGAUUAAUUGUAUUGUGAAAGAUUUAUGAAAUAUUUUGAAAAAUUAAUUUUAAUAAAGUAGAUUUAAUUUAUUGUACCUUGUGUAUCAGGGUUUAUCAAAAUUAUGUAAAGAAUUUAUGUUUCCCGAUUUGAAGAGAGCUAAUUAGGUAUGAUAGUUACUGUGGAAUAAUUAUUAUAAAUAACUAAUUAGUAAUGAAACGUUAUCCGUUCUUUAAGAUAUCUGGUUUCUUAAGAAAUGAAUUAAAUUCAGAUAUAAUUGGAGUAAUUAAAUUUAAAGUUUUUUACUUAUUUUUAUAUUAAUAUUUCUGGGGAUAAGCUUAGAAAUAUAUUUUAAAAUGAAUUGUAAUUACGAAGUUUUGUAGGUUUAGAAUUCGCCAUCAGUUUAAGGAUGUUAUAAUUUAGCUUUGUGUGAAAAUAAUUUUCUUGUAUUUAAAUUUUUUAUUAAGAUUUUAUUUUUAAUUUUAAAAAAUUAGUAGUACUGAUAAAAUUAGUAUAAAAAAUUGUUUAAUUAUAAAUAAUUCGAAAGGUUAUAUAAAGGAAUUCGGCAAAUUAAUGCUCGCCUGUUUAACAAAAACAUGUCUUCUUGAUUUAUAAUUUGAAGUCUGACCUGCCCACUGAGAUUAACUUAAAGGGCCGCGGUAUUUUGACCGUGCAAAGGUAGCAUAAUCAUUAGUCUUUUAAUUGGAGGCUAGAAUGAAUGGUUGGACGAGGUAUUGACUGUCUCUGUAUAAAUGAGUUUAGAAUUUAACUUUUAAGUGAAAAGGCUUAAAUAUUUUUAGAGGACGAGAAGACCCCAUAGAGCUUUAUAAUAAGUUUUUUAUAAUUUGUUUAGUGGUUUUUUUAUUAUAUUAAAUUAAUUAUUUUGUUGGGGUGACAGGAAGAUAUAAUAAACUCUUUUUAUUAAUGAAACAUUGAUUUAUGAAUUAUUGAUCCAUUUUUAAUGAUUAAAAGUCUAAGUUACCUUGGGGAUAACAGCGUAAUCUUUUUCGAGAGUUCUUAUCGACAAAAAGGGUUGCGACCUCGAUGUUGGAUUAAGGGUAAUUUUGGGUGUAGAUGUUCAAAGUUUAGGUCUGUUCGACCUUUAAAUCCUUACAUGAUCUGAGUUCAGACCGGUGUAAGCCAGGUCGGUUUCUAUCCUUAAUAAAUUAUGAUGUUUUAGUACGAAAGGACCAAGCAUUGAGAAUAAUAUUCUAUAUAUUAGAUUAAUAUUAAAUAAUAAU
rnacentral:rRNA from 1 species